CGUUCGAUAGCUCAGUUGGUAGAGCGGAGGACUGUAGAUCCUUAGGUCGCUGGUUCGAAUCCGGCUCGAAGGA
rnacentral:tRNA from 1 species